rnacentral:rRNA from 1 species
CCUAGGGGAGGCAGCAGUGGGGAAUAUUGGACAAUGGGCGAAAGCCUGAUCCAGCCAUGCCGCGUGUGUGAAGAAGGCCUUCGGGUUGUAAAGCACUUUCAGUGGGGAAGAAAGCCUUGGGGCUAAUACCCUCGAGGAAGGACAUCACCCACAGAAGAAGCACCGGCUAACUCCGUGCCAGCAGCCGCGGUAAUACGGAGGGUGCGAGCGUUAAUCGGAAUUACUGGGCGUAAAGCGCGCGUAGGCGGUCUGAUAAGCCGGUUGUGAAAGCCCCGGGCUCAACCUGGGAACGGCAUCCGGAACUGUCAGGCUAGAGUGCAGGAGAGGAAGGUAGAAUUCCCGGUGUAGCGGUGAAAUGCGUAGAGAUCGGGAGGAAUACCAGUGGCGAAGGCGGCCUUCUGGACUGACACUGACGCUGAGGUGCGAAAGCGUGGGUAGCAAACAGGAUUAGAUACCCCGGUAGUC